rnacentral:rRNA from 1 species
UACGUAGGGUGCAGGCGUUAAUCGGAAUUACUGGGCGUAAAGCGUGCGCAGGCGGUUUCUUAAGUCAGAUGUGAAAGCCCCGGGCUUAACCUGGGAACUGCGUUUGAAACUGGGAGACUUGAGUGUGGCAGAGGGGGUGGAAUUCCGACGUGUAGCAGUGAAAUGCGUAGAUAUGUGGAGGAACACCGAUGGCGAAGGCAGCCCCCUGGGUUAACACUGACGCUCAUGCACGAAAGCGUGGGGAGCAAACAGG